GGAAGGUCCGGGCGNNAUCCGGAUNUAUNGGGUNUAAAGGGAGCGUAGGCCGGANAUUAAGCGUGUUGUGAAAUGUAGAUGCUCAACAUCUGCACUGCAGCGCGAACUGGUUUCCUUGAGUACGCAUAAAGUGGGCGGAAUUCGUGGUGUAGCGGUGAAAUGCUUAGAUAUCACGAAGAACUCCGAUUGCGAAGGCAGCUCACUGGGGCGCAACUGACGCUGAAGCUCGAAAGCGCGGGUAUCGAACAGGAUUAGAUACCCUGGUAGUCCGCGCGGUAAACGAUGGAUGCCCGCUGUUGGGCCAACUGGUUCAGCGGCCAAGCGAAAGCAUUAAGCAUCCCACCUGGGGAGU
rnacentral:rRNA from 1 species